ACUUCCUCUGCAGAGCCUCAGUUUCCUUCUCUGUCAAGUGGGGUUAAUAAUACAUCCACUGCUGUAUUUGCCGUACAGAAUUAUUCUUUAAAAAAACUCUUUGGAAUGCUUGUUCCUCUGGUGGUAUUUCCAACCUGUGCAAACUGGUGAGAGACCAGUUUUGGCUUCUGACAGGGCCACAUUUAUUCAGAAAGCUUAGGAAUGGAAGGUCACAUUGCUUCAAGACACCUUUACUGCAUGAGGUAGCAUGACUCCGUUUGUUUAUGCCCUGGCUGAGCAGCCAGGAGAUUAGCUGUUUUUGCUCUGUCCCAAGGAGAUGAUCUCAUCUGAGAUAGAUUUUGCUUUUGUUCUACUGAGAGAGACUCACUUCCAACAGGGAGCUUAAAUACAGCAUGGGAGGCAGAUACCCAUAAGACAAAGCAGGCCCCUGACAGUUCAAAUAUAGCUGUGGCAAUGGAGGGUUUGUAAAGGCAAGCUGGAGGGGGUUUGGCUGUGGGCCCUUUCCUGGGGUUGCCAUGGAGGGAGAAUGGGACUGAGAACUAAGCUGACAAAGCAAAUUUAACACCAGGGGUAAGGUGAAGUCCAGCCAAGCCCUGGGAAGGCUUUGCUGGAAUGGCCCUAUCUAGGAUAGCAGGAAAGAGAAAGGAUCUGCUACCAGACAGGAUUAACCCUUGAGAAGCAGUCUGGGCAAUGAAAAGCAUUGAAGAGACCCUGAAGAGAUCCAAAACUCAGCUUUAACAUUACUAUGGGAGUACAGCAUCUUGUUGACACUUCUGGACAAGCAAGAAGGUCAACCAGAAUGGGACAUCAUGUAGAAGCCCCAGUCAGAAGAAACAGGAAGCACUGAUCAGAGUGCUGACCCAUGAAAGUAUUGAAAUAAAUUAAAUACAUGGAAUCCUGGAUAGAGUCA
rnacentral:lncRNA from 1 species